rnacentral:rRNA from 1 species
CCCCGGCCCCCUCACCUGGCCACCCUUGUCUAUUUUUACCUGUUGCUUCGGCGGGCCUGCAGCGAUGCUGCCGGGGGAGUUUUCACUCCCCGGGCUCGUGCCCGCCGAGGACACCGCUAGAACUUCUGGUGAACGAUUGACAUCUGAAAAAAUAACUAUAAUCAGUUAAAACUUUCAACAACGGAUCUCUUGGUUCCGACAUCGAUGAAGAACGCAGCAAAAUGCGAUAAGUAAUGCGAAUUGCAGAAUUCCGUGAAUCAUCGAAUCUUUGAACGCACAUUGCGCCCUCUGGUAUUCCGGGGGGCAUGCCUGUCCGAACGUCAUUGCAACCCUCAAGCGCGGCUUGUGUGUUGGGCCUUCGUCCCCCCGUGGACGUGCCCGAAAUGCAGCGGCGGCGUCGUGUUCCGGUGCCCGAGCGUAUGGGGCUUUGUCACCCGCUCUAGAGGCCCGGCCGGCUCCGGCCCCAUCUCAAACCCUUCGAGGGAGGGCGGUCUUCGGGCCGGUCUCCCCACCAGGUUGACCUCGGAUCACGUAGGAAUACCCGCUGAACUUAA